UGCAUAUUAGUGUACUAGCACAAGAGACUUUGAUUCUCUUAGAGUUGGAGAAAUCCUUCAUAUGUAA
rnacentral:tRNA from 4 species